GGAAAUUUUGGACGUGAUUUGGAAAUGCUUUAUAUACGCUUAGAAUAGUCCACACGAACAGAGGUAACCAGCAUCAUUAACCAGCGUCGUUAACCAGCAUCGUUAACCAGCAUCGUUAACCAGCAUCGUUAACCAGCAUCGUCAACCAGCAUCAUCAACCAAUCACCAUUAACCAAUCACCAUUUCGAUAGAUUACAGUUUUCAACGCACUUAAAUGGUAACUUCAAGCGAAGGAAAAGGGAUCACUUCAACACCCCAGUUAUAUCAUCACUCAAAGAAUGCUUAGUGCAGAGUUGAUCUUCUGUCUGUUGGUACAACAAAACCAGGAGAGCAGUGAAGAGGAGACAAAAAAGGAGGAGCAAGAAGAGGAAACUACAGGCACGAAGAGGAAAUAAUAAAAAAAGCAAGGA